rnacentral:rRNA from 1 species
GACGAACGCUGGCGGCGUGCCUAACACAUGCAAGUCGAACGGGGUUGAGUGCUUCGGUAUUCAACCUAGUGGCGAACGGGUGAGUAACGCGUGAAGAACCUGCCUUUCAGUGGGGGACAACAGUUGGCAACGACUGCUAAUACCGCAUGACGCUUCUUGGGGGCAUCCCCGAGAAGUCAAAGCUUUAUGUGCUGAAAGAUGGCGUCGCGUCUGAUGAGCGAGAUGGCGGGGUAACGGCCCACCAUGGCGACGAUCAGUAGCCGGGCUGAGAGGAUGAACGGCCACAUUGGGACUGAGAUACGGCCCAGACUCCUACGGGAGGCAGCAGUGGGGAAUAUUGGGCAAUGGGGGAAACCCUGACCCAGCAACGCCGCGUGAAGGAAGAAGGCCUUCGGGUUGUAAACUUCUUUUACCAGGGACGAAGGACGUGACGGUACCUGGAGAAAAAGCAACGGCUAACUACGUGCCAGCCGCCGCGGUAA